UACGUAGGGGGCAAGCGUUGUCCGGAUUUAUUGGGCGUAAAGAGCGUGUAGGCGGCCUGAAAGGUCAGCUGUGAAAACUCGAGGCUCAACCUCGAGACGUCGGUUGAAACCAUCUGGCUAGAGUCCGGAAGAGGAGAGUGGAAUUCCCGGGUGUAGCGGUGAAAUGCGCAGAUAUCGGGAAGAACACCCGUGGCGAAGGCGGGCUC
rnacentral:rRNA from 1 species